rnacentral:rRNA from 1 species
GAUGAACGCUGGCGGCGUGCCUAAUACAUGCAAGUCGAGCGAACAGACGAGGAGCUUGCUCCUCUGACGUUGCGGCGGACGGGUGAGUAACACGUGGAUAACCUACCUAUAAGACUGGGAUAACUUCGGGAAACCGGAGCUAAUACCGGAUAAUAUAUUGUACCGCAUGGUUCAAUAGUGAAAGUCGGUUUUGCUGUCACUUAUAGAUGGAUCCGCGCCGCAUUAGCUAGUUGGUAAGGUAACGGCUUACCAAGGCAACGAUGCGUAGCCGACCUGAGAGGUUGAUCGGCCACCCUGGAACUGAGACACGGUCCAGACUCCUACGGGAGGCAGCAGUAGGGAAUCUGCCGCAAUGGGCGAAAGCUUGACGGAGCAACGCCGCGUGAGUGAUGAAGGUCUUCGGAUCGUAAAACUCUGUUAUUAGGGAAGAACAAAUGUGUAAGUAACUAUGCACGUCUUGACGGUACCUAAUCAGAAAGCCACGGCUAACUACGUG